CACCAACAGUGUAAGAGGGUUCCCUUUUCUCCACAUCCUCUCCAGCAUUUGUUAUUUGUAGACCUUUUGAUGAUGGCCAUUGCUUUAGUUUUUUAAUAAAAAGUUAGACAUUAACCACCUGUGAUUUCUUACAUUUAAAACAAAGGAUUUGUUUAUACAUUGGUCAGAUAGAAAGACGAGGGUAACUUAGCCAAAUGCGGUGAUGGAAUUUACCUAUAAACUCCAUGGCUUUUAAUGAUGGAAUCCGCAUUUCCCACGUUCAGAAGAGAACACAGAUAGGGAAGAGUAAUUCACUAGGAUCCUGUUUCCAUAUCGCCUCCACCCUCAGCUAACAGUUGUUUAAUAAUGCAGUUGUUUGCCAAGAGUUAUAGGAGGCAGGCAUGACUGAACAGAUGGCUCCUGUGAUCCAAAAGCUUAAAAGAAUCAGUUGAUCAUGUUGCUAAAAGUUGCUUGAUGUAUUAAUAUGUUAAAAUUAAACAAAGAGUUUUAAUUUUCUAAAGGAAAAUUAAGUAGGUGUAAAAUUUCUGUGUUUAUCUUCUUGUUUAGUGGGAAGAGAUACUGGGGGCAGUUUUGCCAGUCUGUUGUCCUAAUUUCUUUUUUGGAUCCUCCCCCACGCCGUGUGCUUUUUACUUAGUGUGUUCAUUACAAUAUUGCUAAGAGCAACAUGUUCUCUACUUUUCAAAAUAUAGUUUGUUAAAAGAAGGAGCCCCUCAAGAUUUAAGAUUGUCUUUGUUCAGGUGGUGUGUGUAGGAUUUCAUGAUGAGUGACUCAAGAAGUAAGAAUCAUUUAGGGAGUUUUCCUUAAGUCACUGUUGACAGUCUUCAUUUGCUCUUACUUUUAAAACCAGGAAGCAUAUUAGAAAGAUUGAGGAGAUCAGGGUCUGUCUACCCUGGGGUAGAUACUUGGUAAGUUGUCUUUAUGCAACUUCCUUUUCUCUGUAGAUGAAAUGGAGGAUGAAAUUGUAUAAUGGAAAUGGUUUUGAGGUCCUGUCUCCCUUGAGAAAGUCUCCUGAAAUAAUUUAUUAAAAUGCUAAUAUUCAAAGUUAGAUUAAUUAGAGGCAUAUCAUAAUGAGAGUAGGUCAGAUAUCUUUAUUUUAAUGUAGCUAAUGUAUUCAUGUUUUCCACCCAUGUUUAAGUAAAAAGUAAAAGGUAUUUUACUCAUCUUUGCCCUUUGUUGUGACCUUUACUUUUGAAAGAAAGGAUACUUAAGGUUGGAAUGACAGAGAUCAGUGGUUUCUCUCCCUCUUCAGAAACAGCCAGAGAGUGAGAUCAAACCAAAUUGCCCAGAGCUCUACUAGCUUCACUAGAUUUCACAACCCAGUGGGCAGAGGGGAGGGCACACCUGGAGUACAUUGAAACGGCAACCAACUGCCCUUUUAAGUAGUGACUCUACCAAAAAAUGCUGGUGGGAUUUUUGGGUUUUAACUCUCACAUCCUACAUCUCUGUGUAACAAUCCUAACACUUCACAUUUUUCAAGUGCUUCUUUUAAAAUUUUUUGAGGAGCUCAGUAAUGUUUUAUCGUUUUGGUUUUAAGGCAAGAACACUGGAGUAAUAGUUUGGGAGUCACAUUCUCUUAAGUCCUGGCAGUCCUGCUAGCCCUGCCAUGAGUCCUGAGACGAUUUCUUCUCUUUUAGGGCUGUUUCCUUGUGUGCUUACAUGAGGACCACCAGCUCAGUGGUUCUCAUUUUGGAAUGCUCAAUAGAAUCACCUGGGAAGCUUUUAAUUUUUAAACAGCUUUACUGAGGUUUAAUCUACAUAUAAGAAGCUACACUAAUUUCAAGUGUGCACUUUGAUAAGUUUUGACAUUAUCACAAUCAAGAUAAUCUGGAAAGGUCUUAAAAAAUAAGGUACCCAGGCAAAUUAAAUUAGAGGGGAUAGGGGGAUGCACUCAGGAAGCAGUAUUAGUUUUUGGUUUUGUUUUAAAGUUCUCAGGUAUUUCCUCAACUGGAAAUCACCAUUCAGGACUGACUAUUGAAGAGGCAAUAUCUGUUGUUUUAUGACCUGGAGGAAAAAAACCUACAUAUAUAUUUAUAAUAAUACAUAAUUUAUAAAACAAUGUUAUGUUUACAUAACUAUAUAAUUUAUGUCAUAUGUACAUUCAUAUGUAAAACUCUAGCCCUGUGUUGAGAGCAAGUCAGUGGCAUAGCCAGAGCUAGUAGCUAAGGCAUCUAAUACCCUUCUAUCAGUCCUUCUAUCAUCCUUUGUGAGCUAAAUUUAUGCAGUAAUUUAAAAGAGGUCAAUAUCCUUAUUAGGAUUCUUUCAGAGGCAGUGGGUUUGGUAUCCUUCCUAAGUCAGGGUGGUCAUAAAAUUUGAGUACUAAACCAAAGCUGAGAAGCUGCUCCUGUGGUUUAUCACAUCUUAGAAUCAAACUUUUUACUUCUUUAGGGAAAAAAUGGGGGGGAUAUAAUCAUUGAAAUUGCUGUAGGAGAGCAAUAGAAGCUGGUGUACCAUACCCCUCCCCCCACCAACUUGCAGUCCUAACUCCAGGUGCCUCUGAAUGCGACUGUAUUUGGAACUAGGGUUGUUGCAGGUGUAAGUAGUUAAGCUCAUACUGGACUAGGGUGGGCCUCUAAUCCGUUGUGAUUUGUGUCCUUAUAAAAAGGGUGUAUUUGGACACAGACAUGCACAGAGGAGGAUACCACACGAAGAUAAAGGCAGAGAUUGGGUGAUUCAGCAGAAGCCAAGGAAUGUCAAAGAUUGCCAGCAAAACUACCAGAUGCUAGGAAAGAGGAGGCAUGGAACAGAUUCCUCCCUCACAGCUCUUAGAAGGAACCAGCUCUGCCCACACUUUGAUCUUGGACUUCUGGCCUCCAGAACAGUGAGAAGAUAAAUGUCUGCUUUUAAGUCACCCAGUGUGUGGUAUUUUGCUAUGGCAGCCCUAGGAAACUAAUCUACCUGGAGAAACCUGAGGCUCUUAGAGGAGAAGUGACUUGCUGAGAUUCAGAGUCAAGAUUUGGACCCAGAUUUCUUACACAAAAGCUUGAUCACUUUCCCCUCAAGAGGGAGGCAGACAUGUCAACAGAUAAACAACCUAUUACAGCCCUCCCUGGCACCACACCGGCAGGCUGGCACAGUAAGCAGAGGAUGAAGAUAGAAAUUGGCAGAACUUCAUCUCAAAGGAAAUGGCCCAGGAGGGGAAAAUGUUGAAACAGUAGAAGUCUGUGGCCUAAACUCAAAGCACACACUGUUAUAAAUACCCUUCACUUUGCAGGCUGGAAGAAGCAGCGUUUUUUAGUUACCUGAUCCUUAGCUCAAUUAGGUCACCUGUUCCCUCUUUCUCCUGUCCCCUGUUCACAUACAUAGGACUACCAUGAGCACCACAUUAUCAGGCAGACAGAGAUGAGCGAAACUUUGCCCUUGAGGACUCAUGGGACUCAUGGCCCAGCAAAGAAGCCAAGAUGGGCCUAAAUGGCUGUAACAUACAGUAGAAAAUGGUAACACCUGAGGGAAGUGCAGAGAGAAAGCUAUAGGACCUCAGAAGUAAAGGGCACUUUUGGAUAAGGGAAGGGUUCAAUCUAAGCACGCUUCAUGGAGGAGGCAUCUUUUGAUCAGAUCCUCAAAGGAUAAAUAGUAUUUAAACAGCUCUCCGUUUGCUGAACAGCAAGUUGUUGGACACUAAUUCACUAAUGGCAAUUUAUCAAAUGACCAGCUCACUAAAACCUCAUUUCUUUUAAUUAGUUAGAGAAUUUAUAGCAAUUUGUUUUUUACCAAGGCUUCCAAAUAUUCAGCUUAUUAUUUUAAAAAGCUCAGGCGAUGUUCAGGCCCCAAAUGCCAAAAAUAGCAUAACGUUAAUUUCUGUCUUCUGCUCAAUUUUAUUUUUUAAUAUUUAGAAAUUAUUUAACUUUGAGGUGAACAGCAUGAUAAUGCAACAUCUGUAUUCACUGCAAAAGUGAUCACCACCAUCACCAUCAUAAAUCUAGCUGCCGUCCAUCCCCACACUCACCCCUUCACUCAUUUUGCCUACCCCUCAACUUCCUUCUCUGGUGACCACCCAUCUCUUCUCUGUGAAUCUGUUUUUCUUUCAACUUGUUUAUUCGUACAUUUUGGUUUGUGGGGCACUCCACAUAGGAGUGGCAGCAUACGGUAUUUGUCUUUCUCCCUCUGACUAGUUCACUUAAUACUUUCAAAGCCCAUCCAUGUUGUCAUAAAUGGCAAGAUUUCAUUCUUCUUUAUGGCUGAGUAGGCUGCCACUGUUUAUGGCAUGCUUUAUCCAUUCAUCCAUUGGUGAAUACUUGUUUCCAUAUCUUGGCUGUUGUAAAUGAUUGUAAUUAUUGUAGAAAAUACUGUAGUGAACUUUAGCAGUGCAUAUACCUUUUCAAUUUUUUUUUUUUGUUCUUCAAAUAAAUGCCCAGAAGUGGAGUGGCUGGCC